AGUUUGAACCCCCGAAACUAAGUGAGCUACUUCGGAAUAGUACUAAGAACGAACCCGUCUCUGUUGCAAAAGAGUGGGACAAUUCCCAAGUAGAGGCGACAAACCUACCGCACCUAGAGAUAGCUGGUUAUUCAAGAAAAGAAUUUAAGUUCAACCUCAAGUUUCCAUAUUAAAUAAAAAACAAAACUUUAGAGUUACUCAAAUAAGGCACAGCUUAUUUGAAAUAGAACACAACCUAUAAUACAGGGUAACACACAAUAGUUAAGUAACAAGUGGGCCUAAAAGCAGCCACCUCCAAAAAGCGUCAAAGCUUGAUAUCUACCUUAUUCUAAUACCUUUUCCUUUUACUAACCCUUCACCUAUAUUGAAUAACUCCAUAAACUUAUGGAAAAUUUUAUGCUAGAACUAGUAACAAGAAAUAGACUUUCUCCUAAAUGUAAGCUUAAGCCACAGUAGACAAACUACUGGCAAUUAACGUAAAUGAACAAAGUACAGCAACCUCAACAAGAAAACCCUGUUUAAACACAACGUUACCCUUACACCAGAACAUUUAAGGAAAGAUUAAAAGA
rnacentral:rRNA from 1 species